rnacentral:rRNA from 1 species
AUGGGACAUAAUUAUUACGGGGAACCCGCAUGGCCCAAUGAUCUUUUAUAUUUUCCAGUAGUAAUUCUAGGUACUAUUGCAUGUAAUGUAGGUUUAGCGGUUCUCGAGCCAUCAAUGAUUGGUGAACCGGCAGAUCCGUUUGCAACUCCUCUGGAAAUAUUACCAGAAAAAAUAAAAAAUAAUUCUAUUAAUUUUCAUUUUCCAUUUAUUUAG